GAUGAACGCUGGCGGCGUGCCUAAUACAUGCAAGUCGAGCGAACGGACGAGAAGCUUGCUUCUCUGAUGUUAGCGGCGGACGGGUGAGUAACACGUGGAUAACCUACCUAUAAGACUGGGAUAACUUCGGGAAACCGUAGCUAAUACCGGAUAAUAUUUUGAACCGCAUGGUUCAAAAGUGAAAGACGGUCUUGCUGUCACUUAUAGAUGGAUCCGCGCUGCAUUAGCUAGUUGGUAAGGUAACGGCUUACCAAGGCAACGAUGCAUAGCCGACCUGAGAGGGUGAUCGGCCACACUGGAACUGAGACACGGUCCAGACUCCUACGGGAGGCAGCAGUAGGGAAUCUUCCGCAAUGGGCGAAAGCCUGACGGAGCAACGCCGCGUGAGUGAUGAAGGUCUUCGGAUCGUAAAACUCUGUUAUUAGGGAAGAACAUAUGUGUAAGUAACUGUGCACAACUUGACGGUACCUAAUCAGAAAGCCACGGCUAACUACGUG
rnacentral:rRNA from 1 species